GAAGACAGAGAAACACCGUGACAGUUCCAGCUGGUCACCUUGAGCUCCACAUCAGCAUUUUGUCCUGGCCAGGUUGUGGGUAAGUGCAACCAGCCCACCUUAAAGGCAACUCAUGGGCAAUAAAGGCAGUAACUUCACAGGCAACUCACAGGCCCUGUAUCAUCUUCCCAACAUGUUCUUUUUACAAGACGUAAGGGGAGGAGUCUAAGGUUUUAAGUGUUUUCAUUUAAAGUUAAGCUUUUAAACCCUAAGGUUCAAAAAUCAGGAAGAAAAUGUAAUCAUUCUUUAAACCACGAUUUUUUUGAUACUGGCUGUAAAAAUAAUGAGAGGUUCUUCUGGGUUCUUAUCUAGUUUGUCCAGGAGGAACAGAUUUUCUGCUGAAAGUGCAUAAUAGUUAUGAGACCAUUUAACAGGUCACGAAAUGGAAACUAAAGUACUUGGCAGACUUCCCUCAUUUCAUUAUUGAAAUUCUAUCAAAUGGGCGAAGAAAUGGAAGGAAAUACUGGCUGCCUUCUCUCAGGCUUUUUCCUAGACGAUCUUGAAGCACUUCAAGAAAAAGAUGUCCUGAUGAAAUGUAAGCCAAGGGGACAGGAUGGGGAGUCUUUCACCCCAGUUCCUAUGCCAACAGCACAGGUCUUUGUUACUGUACAAAUGAACCAAAAUUAAAAUCUCCCUUCGAAAAAGAAGUGUGAAGUCGUCUGGUAUUAAUAUGUAUGCUGAAUGCAUAUAUGCCAACUUCCACCUUACUUAUGGCACCUGC